UUAUCUACCCUGCAGAUAUCAUGAUCACGAAGGUGGUUUUCCCAGGGUGAGGCUCAUCCAUUGCACUGCGAGUGUGCUGACCCUUGCGAUUUCCCCAAAUGCGGGAAACUCGACUGCAUAAUUUGUGGUAGGGGGGACUGCGUUUGCACUCUCCCCUU
rnacentral:snRNA from 1 species